rnacentral:lncRNA from 1 species
CUGGGAAGGGUGGGGUGGUCAUGAAGUCCUGAGAGAGCAGAGGGACACACCAACUUCUCUUGUUGGUUCCCUCAACCCUGCCCAUACCUAUGGGUAAUCAGAGAUGGAUUCAGUCUCCAGUUAGGAUCCUCAUCAAGGUAUUUGUAUGGGGGAUUCCAUGCAGAUGGUGUAUAGAGAGAAGAUAGACACAAGGGAUCUUCAUAGCCAAGGACUGGAUUUGAACAAGUCAGUCUCCAGCUAUGUUUUAGACACUGAGGACUGUGCCCGUCAUCCCUUAGAGCUUCUCUCUGGGCCACUGGCUCGAAGGGCACAUCUCAGGGAAAAAGAAUUCACAACGGAACAUCAACAUAUCCAAAAGACAAGUUUCAAUGAACAGAUUCUCAGCAAAAGGACUCUAAGGAUGCAGAGGAAGGGAAGUCACCCAAUCUGGGAAGGAGUGGGGCUUCUGCUGUGUCUCUAGAUGAUGCCUUAAGAAACACCCACUCCCCGUGAGGGAUGUUACCAAGAAGUCAAGAACCACC